rnacentral:ribozyme from 1 species
UUUUUUUUUUUUUUUUUUUUUUUUUUUUUUUUUGUCC